UAACUUCUUUUAAAAUUUCUUGUGUUGUGGGUCUGCUGACAAUGAAUUCUCUGUUUUUGUGUGAGAAAGUCUGUAUCUUUCCUUUAUUUUGGAAGCGAUUUUCACUGGGUGUAGAUUUCUGGUUGAUAGUUUGUUUCUUUUUCCUUUCAGUGUUUUAAAGCUGUCACUCUAUCAUCUUCUGACUUGCAUGGCUCCUGACAAGAGAUCUGCUAUAAUUCUUUGUUCCUCUGUAUAUAAUGUGUUUUUUAUUCUAUAUUUGCCUUCAAGAUAUUCUUUUUUAUUUUCAGCAGUUGUAAUAUGGUAUGCCUAGAUGUGUAUGUGUGUGUGUAUUUUCUGGUGUUAUUUAACCUGGUAUUCACUGAGCUUUAUGGAUCUGUGGCUUUGUGUCUGUCAUGAUUAUUGGAAAAUUCUCAGCCAUCAUUUCUUCAAACAUUUCUCCUACCUUAUUCUCUUUAAUUUAUUUCUGGGACUGUAAUUACAUGUAUAUUAGGAUCUUUAAUAUUGUCCCGAGGCUUUUGGAUGUUCUGUUCUGUUUUUCCCUCAGUCUUUUGUGUUUCAGUUUGGGUAAUUUCUAUAGCAUUAUCUUUAACUGUUUAUUUCCUCAGCUGUGUCAACUUUAUUUAUGAGCUCAUUGAAAACAUUAUUUCUGUUACUGUGUUUUCAUUUCCAGCAUUUCCAUUAGAUUCUUUCAUAUAGUUUCUGUAUUUUUGCGGAAAGGACCUUUCUAAUCUUGCAUAUUGUCCUUCUUUUCCAUCAGAGCCAUUAAUAUAUUCAUCAUGGCUAAGUUCCCUGUCAGGUAGUUUCAGUGUCUGUGUUGUAUCUGGUUCUGUAGAUGCUGUUCCGUUCUGUUGAUGGCUGUGGUGUGGAGCUGGUGUGUAGUUCUGGGCCUGGAACACAUUCCUGCUCCUCCCCCAGGGUACAGGUUCUUUCUCUCGCCUUACUCCAGGUCUAAAGGGUUUCCACUGGUGCCCUCAUGGCAAUGGUGUUGCCUUUUCCCCUGGAGAUCAAAGUUUUUAUCCAUAGGGAAGUUGGGGGAGAAACAUCUGGGAGGGGUUUUGUGUCCCUCCUGCCGUGGCUGCUGUCCCAGUCCCUCAGGCCUGUAUCAUGAGGGAUGCUUUCUCAUACCCUCCCCCACCCGCCUGGGGUCGUGGGGGAAAGCCUGGAAAAGGGUGCAGACUCUUGCUUCGGACUUCCCACUUUCUUGCCCACCCAUACUCCGUCCCUAGCAGUUUGUUAAGUAUUCCAGCUGAAUCCUUACUGCUAUGCGUCUGUGGGGCCCCAGGUGCACCAGUGUUCACGCCCCAUCUCUUCCUGUGGGCACCUGUCUCUUCUUAGAUUUCAGGCUAGUUGGCUGAACCUGAGCUCUCUGAUAGCUUCAAUGAGAGUUCUAAACUUGCAGGUUUCCAGCUUUUUUGUUGUUGUAAAGGUGUGAGCAAUGUUCUUUCCAGAUUGCUGCAUCUAAAGCAGAAACUGGGAGUCAGAAUUGAGUGAAUUUAAAGGAAAAGAUAAGGAAAAAAAUCAUUUGUGGACUGAAUUGGUAACCACUUCUCUUGUAGGAUAAUGCCAUUUGGUCUUUCUAAUCCUGUGAGGUGAGUAAUCACCAUUCCCAUUUACAGAUGAGGUUCUGAGAGGAUGAGAAAGGAUCUGGGGUUCCUCUCUGGUCCUGCCUGAUUGCACGGGAACAGCUGCUCUCCGCUGCCUUCUGAGGCUGUGAAGUACGAGUGUGAGAUUAGGGAGGAACCCAUGGAAGGAGGCGGUGUGGCCCUCCGUCCUCAGCCUGCACUAAAGCGAGCUCGCCGGGACUGGGCUUGGGGAGUUUAGGGCGAUGAGGGAGGAACUGGCAUGGCUUGGGUGGGCUGAGGCUCUGGCUGGGACUCACACAGGGACUCAGUAGGAAGUGGAUUGUAGGGAAAAAUGGCACUAACGGCUGGAGAGACCUGGAUGGCUCUCUAGCGAGUCCCUUGCUGCCCAUGCGAGAGACAGCAGAGUCCUCACAGCCUGGGAAUGUGGCUCAGUCCCAGGGCCGGGAUGGAGUGUUUGCCAGUGUCAGGGAAUCCAGACUUGGCCCUGUGUGUGGAGACUGGCGGUGGGGAACGGUGUAUGGGAAAAGCACAAAUGGGGAUGGAGCUGCUGGAGAACCACCCCGAAGCUUCUGCUCAGUCACAGCCUGCUCUCCCUCCCUCCGAAGCACUCCCAGGCCCACACGCCAAGGCAAAGGGUAGGAGUGUACACAAAUACAAACACACACACACAAUCCUUUUGUGACUUCCCUUUGAAGUUUUCAAUUAUGUUUUCAUUCAUUUAUAUAUUCCUUUAUUCAUUCAAUAAAUAUUCAUUACUGCCAAGUUCUGCACCCUGGAUAACCUGAUCUUCCUGAGUGAAGGGGGUAGGGAUGCAGAAAGCAUGCAGCUUAGUGGCCCUUGGUGCUCUGCUUCUCUCAGAGAUGACCCGAGGAACGGCCUGAGUGUGGGAAGGAGCAAGGAUCAGUUUUCCGGAACCCCUUCAAGUUUCUUGGGAAGAAGGGUCCUUGGAACUGAAGAUGAUUUUGGGGAGUGAAAGAAACCACCUUUUCCUGGUAGUAGCAGAGCCAAAACUCCAGCCUUCAACCCAAAGACCCGGGUCUGUCCCCAGGCAUUAGCACCCUCCUCGGGGCCCCGUUGUCAUCUGUGACUUUUGCCUCCUGCAUCUCAGUUUCCGUGCCUGUCAAGUGGAGAUAUGAUACCUCAUUCUGGGGAGAGACAAUGAAGUACUGCGGUGAAAAGUACACGUGCUGUACAAAAUUAGGAAAUCCUCGUCACCAGACUUAGAGAAACAUACAAAGUGGAGUUGACUCCCAGGAUGGAGACACAGCUUCCCAGAAUCCUGUUUCACCUGAGGCACAGAAGCUUUCCUUUGUUCACCGUUGCCAGCAGUUAUUGGACUGUGGCUGGGAUUACCUGUCAGAAUUCACAGACAUUUCUCCUUUGCUCUGGCACUGAUUGCUGCUGGAAAGACAUCUGAAACGCACCUGAUUUUUCUUCUUAUGUUGUCCGGGCAGUUUGAGUUUGAGGUGCUGAUGAAGCAUGCAGGAAAAAGAUCAUUCACUGACUGGGCACGGUGGCUCACACCUCCGAGCACCUUGGGAGGCCAAGGCAGAAGAAUUGCUUGAGCCCAGGAGUUCAAGACCAGCCUGGGCAAUAUGAAGGUGCCUGCUUCCCCUUCCACCAUGAUUGUAAGUUACCUGAGACCUCACCAGCCAUGAGGAACGGUGACCUUGGUUUGGCCACUUUUUCAGGACUCUAAAUGCCAAAGAAGACUUAUCUCCAGAGAUAUUAUAGAACCGGUUUGUUUUACUACAAACUUACCAAUACCCAUGAUAGAGGGAUCACAUCCAGAUACAAAGUAGCCCACAAUUCUUGCCAGUGGUGUGAAGUUAUGCUUCUUAACAGCAUCUUCACUAGCUAUGAUAACAGCUCCAGCACCAUCAGCUAUCCCCUUGAAAAUAAAAAUACUAGAAUAACUAAAGGCUAAAAUAAUCCAGUUAAUCAAGGUUUGAACUAAUGGAGUAGUAGUAUCAGGAAUAUGGCAGGACAUAGGAAGCCAGUGCACAAUCUGAGAUAACAACUAGAAAAGUGGUACUCUGGUGGAUGAAGGAGAUUUUUUAAGGCACAGAACACAACUUUACUAAAGAAAAAGGAAAAGGGUGUCAAGGAAAAACUUCUUUCUAGAUGUGAGUAGAUGUAAGAAAAAAUACGAUGAACUGUAUGCAUGAGAAAAAAAAGUUUGAAAACCAAAAUAAGCCAGUUAGAUUUGUUUCCGAAAUGUCUUAGUUUGGAAAAAACUAAGAAAUCAGAAGAGUAUUAUAUAAAUAUGAAAAGAUUUUGUGUGGGACUAUGAAAACCUACAUUGAUUGAAUAUGAACACUAUUAGUUUAAGCUAAACAACUAAAGACUGGCAUAAAAAGUAUUUACAAGAUACUUCAUGAUUAUCUUGUGUUGAACACAUCAGGAAGAAUUGAAGCUAAUCUGUGUGGUGAUACCAACCGAUGCAUUCCCUGCAGUGACAGUUCCAUCUUUCUUGAAUACUGGAGGAAGUUUCUGUAACUGUUCCAGGGUGGUUUGGGGCCGAGCAUGCUCGUCUACCUGCAUUGUCUGUUUUCCUUUCUUUGUCUUCACUUCAAUUGGUGCCAUUUCAUCAUUAAAGUAGCCAGCAUCAUUAGCUGAAAAAUAGUAGAAGGACUAUCAUAAGAAUAAAAGAAACAUGAAUAUAA